UGGGGAAUUUUGGACAAUGGGCGAAAGCCUGAUCCAGCAAUGCCGCGUGUGUGAAGAAGGCCUUCGGGUUGUAAAGCACUUUUGUCCGGAAAGAAAUCCUUGGCUCUAAUACAGUCGGGGGAUGACGGUACCGGAAGAAUAAGCACCGGCUAACUACGUGCCAGCAGCCGCGGUAAUACGUAGGGUGCAAGCGUUAAUCGGAAUUACUGGGCGUAAAGCGUGCGCAGGCGGUUUGCUAAGACCGAUGUGAAAUCCCCGGGCUCAACCUGGGAACUGCAUUGAUGACUGGCAGGCUAGAGUAUGGCAGAGGGGGGUAGAAUUCCACGUGUAGCAGUGAAAUGCGUAGAGAUGUGGAGGAAUACCGAUGGCGAAGGCAGCCCCCUGGGCCAAUACUGACGCUCAUGCACGAAAGCGUGGGGAGCAAACAGGAUUAGAUACCCUGGUAGUCCACGCCCUAAAACGAUGUCAACUAGUUGUUGGGGAUUCAUUUCCUUAGUAACGUAGCUAACGCGUGAAGUUGACCGCCUGGGGAGUACGGUCGCAAGAUUAAAACUCAAAUGAAUUGACGGGGUCAUAGCUGUUUCCU
rnacentral:rRNA from 1 species